GCCUUAUUAUUAGUUUUAAUUAGACCUAUACAUGCAAGUUUCCGCUACCCGGUGAAAAUGCCCUUAAAACUAAAGAUUAAGGAGCUGGUAUCAGGCACACAAUAGUAGCCAAUAACACCUUGCUCAGCCACACCCCCAAGGGAAACAGCAGUGACUAACAUUAAGCCAUAAACGAAAGUUUGACUAAGCCAUAAUUAUAGGGUUGGUAAAUUUCGUGCCAGCCACCGCGGUCAUACGAUUAACCCAAAUUAAUAAGCUUCGGCGUAAGGUGUGUUUAACAAUAAAGUCAAUAUUUAACUAAACUGUAGUACGUUCUAGUUAAUAUUAAGAUAAACUAUUAAAAUGACUUUAAUAAUUCUGAUACACGACAACUAAGACACAAACUGGGAUUAGAUACCCCACUAUGCUUAGUAAUAAACUAAAAUAGUUAUUUAACAAAACUAUUCGCCAGAGAACUACUAGCUAUUGCUUAAAACUCAAAGGACUUGGCGGUGCCCUAAACCCACCUAGAGGAGCCUGUUCCAUAAUCGAUAAACCCCGAUAAACCCGACCCUAUCUUGCCAAUACAGCCUAUAUACCGCCAUCGUCAGCUAACCUUUAAAAAGUCAAAUAGUUAGCAAAAUUAUUUUUCAUAAAAACGUUAGGUCAAGGUGUAGCAUAUGAUAGGGUGAGUAAUGGGCUACAUUCUCUAAUAUAGAGAACAACGAAUCACAUUAUGAAACUUAAGUGUUUGAAGGAGGAUUUAGUAGUAAAUUAAGAAUAGAGAGCUUAAUUGAAUUAGGCAAUAGGGCG
rnacentral:ncRNA from 1 species